rnacentral:rRNA from 1 species
GAUGUUAGCGGCGGACGGGUGAGUAACACGUGGAUAACCUACCUAUAAGACUGGGAUAACUUCGGGAAACCGGAGCUAAUACCGGAUAAUAUUUUGAACCGCAUGGUUCAAAAGUGAAAGACGGUCUUGCUGUCACUUAUAGAUGGAUCCGCGCUGCAUUAGCUAGUUGGUAAGGUAACGGCUUACCAAGGCAACGAUGCAUAGCCGACCUGAGAGGGUGAUCGGCCACACUGGAACUGAGACACGGUCCAGACUCCUACGGGAGGCAGCAGUAGGGAAUCUUCCGCAAUGGGCGAAAGCCUGACGGAGCAACGCCGCGUGAGUGAUGAAGGUCUUCGGAUCGUAAAACUCUGUUAUUAGGGAAGAACAUA